AGCAGUAGCCGCGGUAAUACGUAGGGUGCAAGCGUUAAUCGGAAUUACUGGGCGUAAAGCGUGCGCAGGCGGUUUGUUAAGACAGAUGUGAAAUCCCCGGGCUCAACCUGGGAACUGCAUUUGUGACUGGCAAGCUAGAGUCUGGCAGAGGAUGGUGGAAUUCCCGGUAUAGCGGUGAAAUGCGUAGAGAUCGGGAGGAACAUCAGUGGCGAAGGCGGCCAUCUGGGACAACACUGACGCUGAGGCACGAAAGCGUGGGGAGCAAACAGGAUUAGAUACCCCUGUAGUCCCUGUCUCUUAUAC
rnacentral:rRNA from 1 species